rnacentral:lncRNA from 1 species
UGAAAUGCAAAUCAAACUAGACUUGAUUUUUCAUAUUUAUAAGUUCAACACCAAAUGUUUCUUUUUGUUCCUUUCCAUUGUGCUUAUGCAGAUUAGUUUUAUACUUGCUAUUUUUAACACUAAAAAUUAAUAUUAAACAUAAAACUAGCCUUGUUAUUAGUGGGUACAGGAACUUUCCAUGAGAAAACCAUAAGAUAGAGGAAAAUGGGACA